rnacentral:rRNA from 1 species
UACAGAGGUCCCAAGCGUUGUUCGGAUUCAUUGGGCGUAAAGGGCGCGUAGGCGGUUAGGUAAGUCAGGUGUGAAAUCUCGGAGCUCAACUCCGAAAAUGCACUUGAUACUGCCUGGCUAGAGGGCUGGAGAGGAGAUUGGAAUUCACGGUGUAACAGUGAAAUGCGUAGAUAUCGUGAGGAAGACCAGUGGCGAAAGCGAAUCUCUGGACAGAUCCUGACGCUGAGGCGCGAAGGCUAGGGGAGCAAACGGG